AUGCGGUGCUGAGCGGCGUACUGCGAUGAAGAGCCCUCAACUCCUGCGACUUGGAGCUGGAAACCCCGGACUGGAGUCUCGGAAUGGAGCGAAGCAGAGCGCGCGGGGGAUGGGGUUGAACAGGAUGGUUGUCGGUUCGAAUCCCCGCGUGGGCGGAUGAGAGAUGGUGUUGGGUUAAGGUCAUGUGACAGACUCAGAACAGACUCACCUGUACAGCCAUUCACUCCAAAGCCGUAGGUUCCUGGAGCACACUGGUCACAGCGUCGACCCAUCACGUUGGAUUUACAGUGACACUGACCUCCCACCCUAUCACACUCACCACUGAGGGAGCCCUGAGGGUCGCACUGACACGCUGGAUACAAUAGAUACAGGUAAAAGACAGCAAAGAAAACAUCAGACAGUUAUUGCUGUUUAAAAAGUUCUAAAUCUUUGCUCGUUUUGUGCGUUGAUUUUGUGUACUUACACAGAGCACCAUCAUGAAUGAUGGAAGAAAUACUGCAGAUGAGUUUGGAGCACAUCUCAGCUAGGGCGGGCAUCGGUGUCAUCAUAAAGGAAUCCAGACACAUGUAGCGAAUCAUCUCCUCCCGCCGCUGCUCUGCCUCUGGCUCAUUACCUUGGAAACCAGGAAGCUCGGUGUAUUUGGGGAUCAGAACCAGCUAUUGAAGCGAAAAAAACAAUGGUUAAAAAAAGUAAAGGGUUAUUUUUUUUGUUACAGGAUUCUGAGCCAUGGAGGCAAUAUUAAUCGCAAGAGGUUGAUAGGUCAUUGUAGUAAAGCCAACUUUCUGAUUACAGAACACACAUAAAAGUCCAGACAUUUGUCAAAGUUUUUUCAUCUGAUUCAGGUUAAAUGUUUUUAAAGGUGCUUUAAAGAAAUGUUUAUCAACAUUUAAAAGCCUAGUCCAUGCCGAGAUAAAUUCAACAUUUGCAUUUGUAAUUUCCCACCACUAGAGGGAAACCUUGUGGUAUGAUCACUUUCCCUGAAAUCAGUUGAUCAUUAUUCAGUGUUGUUGCUUUUUAGCUCUUUUAAUCAUAGUCUAAGAAUACUGCUACCUUUCAAACAUGGUUCACUUGGUUCAACCAUAUUUGGAGAUAGAUAAUGAGGGUCACAAGUCUUAGCUCACCGAGUCAAUAAGAAUGAAGGCUGUAAGAUGUCGGUGCAAGACACCAUGGCGCUGGAACCUGAUUGCAACCACGUAUCGAUUACUGGGUUCAAAACAGAAUGGCCUGGGCAUCUGGAUGUAUCUGGAAAAACAUAAUACAUACAAAAACGCUUCAAUCAAUAAACACAUUCAUGUUUAUUAAUUCAUAGCACAUACUUUGACACUAAUCUUCUCUAUUUUCUCACUGCUUCUGUUCUUCCUCUCUCUUUUCCUGUUUCUUUCCACUGAUGGGCUUUACACCUAGGAGGCAAUGUCCGCUCACCAUUACCUAGAUUUCUUGGCCUUGUGUGUACAUGGCUUGCAACGACCACAUUUGUCAAUUACUGACCAAUCAGCAGUGGCUACAGCAUAUUGAUAGACCAAUAUCAGAACUGCACAAAGCUGAGUUGCUGGUAGUUUUCUCCUGCUAUUAAAAACUGAAUGACUGUUCCACAAACACAAUAAGAAAUGGAAAAAGGUCAACAAACAAACAAAUGAAAAAGUUCCAAAGAGGAAAUGGAUGAUUCCAACCCUUUUUGCAAAGAACUUGUUAUGACAGCAUAUACAGUUUUAGUACUCUGAAAUAAUAUAAUAAUCUGUAAUAUUGCAGUUUAUGUAGUUAGAUAUGGUUUAUGUGAUCAAUAUGUUUUACUUUUUACUGAAUUAGAUUUUUUAUAAUUAUGCUUGUUUGAUUAUUAUGUAUAUACUUAAUGCAUUUUGGGUAUAUUUUGAAAAAGCUGAACAAAUACACAAACACAAUAUGAAAGGCAGACAGAGUACAUGUACAUUUCAACUCGGUUUGCAUUGACUAUGACAUUUCUGUGGCAGGUUAUUUCCCACUUCUAUGCCUGACUUGUUGUCUAUUUCUACAGUAACCACUGUUCUCCAGGGGCGACUCCAUCCAGUGACUCUCUACCUGCCUUUAGAGUCUGUGUUUUGGGCUCACGUUGCUAAUUGGUUUUGGCUGAUGGACCAACCUCUGAAGAGAGCGGAAGGCUGAGACAGCCAGAUCCGGGCAGGGCCUGACCUCUUAGUUCCAGAUGAGUUCAGACUCUGAAAGGCUAUUCAGCUGGUUGAAACUAAACAGUCUUGGUGUUAGUCUUUCUCUGUUUUUAUGUCCCAUAUCCUAUUUUUGCUUCUUUGAUUUCUCUACAGGGAUAAUUAACACUUAAUCUAGUCUGAUCUGCAGUAAUCUGUCUAAUGUGUUGACUUUGGCAACAUGAGAACAGUCAAAUGUGAAAUGAAUGAAAAAUGAAAAACUAAAAUGUAUGAUGCAAGAAA